AAAAUGUCUUAUCAAAUAAAUGAGACAUCAACAGCUUGUAUUUUUCGGCAAAUAACAAGACUAAGUGCCAAAUAAGAAAAUCAACAGUUUUAUUUAAGCAGUAUUUUCAUGAAUGUUAUAUCUACAUAAACAAUAUUUUUCUUCAACUAAUAAUGGAUAAGUAAGAAAUAUUUGAAAUCCAAUGUGAUUCCGUUACUUUUUUAAUAAUAACAAUUAAAUUAACACAGUUCGAUUAAAAGUAACGAAUAUCGAUUUAAAGCAUCGAUAAUUAUCGAAGUAUGUAUAUACUUGGUUUAAAAGUUAUUUAGUAACGAAUAGAUUGCUGUAAAUCCAUAUGAAUGAUGUAAACAAAUCACGAUUAAAUUUAUAUCCUUUAACUAUUUAUACAAAAAUGAUGUUGUCAAAAUUAUGUAAAAAUAUAUAGAUAAUUUAUUAGAAGACUAAUUAUUUGUCAUCUUGUUUAUGUUAAUAUUAAAUGUGUGCAAGUAUAUAUGUACAUAAGAGAGUGCAUAUUUUGUAAUAUAUAAUCUAAGUUACAUAAUUUUAUACAUAGCAGAAUAUUAAAUGAUAUAAUGUAACUAUAGUUCAAGAAUAGGUUGAUUAUUUUACAUAUAUGUACAUGGUUUCUAGUUAUGUAAUUUAUGUACAUGUCAUACAUUCAGUUAUUUGAUAUACAUAUGUACAUAGUCUCAAGUAAUAAUGUAAAGAAAUAGUAACAGGGAUUCGUCAUAUCCUAUUCCUUUAUACAGUUGAACUGUUUUGCAAUAUAAAGGGAGGGUUUUAUGUAAUUUUUACAUUAUUUAUUCUCAAAAAUAAAUAAUAUUUACUAAUUAUAAGAUUAUAUGAACGUAAGAUGUAAUCUAUAAAUAAAUAAUUAUUAGCGAAUAAGCAUAAUUUGUAUACUUAUAAUCUAAACUAAGCAUAAUGAUGAAGAACACGCGAAUGUAAAUUAUUUAUAAAUAAUAUUUAUUAUAAAAUUAGAUGUACAGAAAGGGGGGACAGUCGAAUUUCUCAUAUUUGUAUAGAAAAAAGUUUCUGUUGAAUGACUUAGGAUAAGUAUAUGAUUAAUGUUUUUUUGUAGUUUUAAGUAAUUUUUCAUAUUUGCUUUUACUAGAAUACCAUAAUGCAAAAGGAAUAGCUAAUGAAGGUAAUGUCAUCACAGCAAAUGCAGCCCAGUCAACCUAAAAUGA